rnacentral:rRNA from 1 species
GUACACACCGCCCGUCACGCCAUGGAAGCCGGGAGUGCCCGAAGUCCGUGAUCCAACCCUCGGGGGGAAGCGGCCGAAGGCAAAUUCGGUAACUGGGGCGAAGUCGUAACAAGGUAGCCGUAGGUGAACCUGCAGAAGGAUCA